rnacentral:lncRNA from 1 species
GGACUGAUAAUCCAAAUAGCUCUCCUGCCUGCCCGUGGGCUACAUCCUGUUGGCUCGGAUUGGCCUGGGAGGCUCCCUGUCCCCCCGAAGUUAUUCUGGGCUCAGGCUACUGUUCAAACAAAUAUAGUGGGUGUUUUUUGAGCUCACAUUAAGUUAUGUAGAGAGGCAGCCUAAGGCAGGGAGAGGACAGCUGAGAGGAGGGAGGGAGCACCUACCAAGGGAAAGGCGGGACAGCUUGGGAAAUAGGGUUUAUUCAGCUCCUUUCUGUGUUGAGGUUCCAUUUGACAGAUGAGGAAACUGAGGCCUCCAAAGUUGGGAUAAAAACAGGAUGGAGGUUUGGGGAGAGGGACUGGGCAAGAGUCUGCAUGCAGUGGAUUAUCAUAUGUGCUGUUUCCCUUCUCAGACUACGACUCUGUUCGUGUUGUGGGACUUACUCUGGCUACCAUCAUGUUUGUUCUGGGCAUUGUCAUUAUUGUCAGUGAGUGCUUUUCCAUUACCUACAUAGACCCUGCUCCAGAGACUCCCAUCCCAGAAACCUCCUGUCCUGGAGACUCCCUGUCCUAGAGACUGCCUAUCCCAGAGACCCCCUAUCCUGGAGACCCCCUGCCCUGGUGACCCCCUGCUCUGGAGACUCCCUGUCCUAGAGACCACCUAUCCCAGAGACCCCCUGUCCUGGAGUCUCCCUGUCCCAGAGACACCCUACUCUGGUGACCCUCUAUCCAGGAGAUCCCCAUCCCAGAGACCCCCUAAUCCAGAGACCCCUUGCUCUGGAGACCCUCCUUACCUAGAGCUCUCUGCCAGUAUCCUUCCUCCAGCUCCCAGUCCAGAGGACUUCCCCCCAAGUCAGCCUCCUCAGACCACAGCGUUCCCACCCUAGGGUUAAGAGGCCGCCAUGCUGAGUUUGGGUGGGUCCCUUCCCAAUUAUUUUCCCUGGCUCCCAACUCUAGUCUCAGCUUUCCAUUUUCCCAUUUCUUUCACUCCACAGGCAAGAAGGUGAAGUGUAGGAAGUCAGACUCCAGGUCAGAAGGGUUUGGGGGGAUCGGGGAUGAGGGUGGGCUUCCUCUAUUUCCCCUGAGUCCCUCUACCCAGCUUGCACCCUCCCUCUACCCCGUUUCCACCUCUGUCCUUGUCUCUUUCUGCCUCUGUCUCUCUGAUCUUCUCCAUCUCCUUGUGUCUUUCUGCCCCACCUUCCUUAGCCAUCUCUGCCUUGUCCCAGGUCUCCCUCUGUCUCUGUGCAUCUGCCCCUGUCGGUCUCCCUGUCUCUGUCUCCCUGUCUCUGUCUCCUUGUCUCUGUCUCCCUGUCUGUUUCUCUGUCUCUGUCUCUCCAUCUCUGUCUCCCUGUCUCUGUCUCUCUGUCUCUGUUUCCCUGUCUCUGUCUCUGUUUCCCUGUCUCUGUUUCUCUGUCUCUGUCUCUCUGUCUCUGUUUCACUGUCUCUGUCUCUGUCUCUCCUUCUGUCUCCCUGUCUCUGUCUCUCUCUCUCUGUCUCUCUGUCUCUCUCUCUCUGUCUCUCUGUCUCUGUCUCUGUCUCUCUGUCUCUCUUUCCCCAUUUGUGUCUCUCUGUCUCUGUCUUCCUGUCUCUGCUCCCCGUCUCUGUCUCCCUGUCUCUGUCUCUCUCUUGGUCUCCUUACGGUCUCUUAUCAUUCCUUUCUUCCCGCAGUCCGACCAUUAAAAACCCCCCUGGGGGAGCCGUGUAA